AUUGAACGCUGGCGGCAUGCCUUACACAUGCAAGUCGAACGGUAACGGGCCUUCGGGUGCCGACGAGUGGCGAACGAGUGAGUAAUACAUCGGAACGUGCCCGAUCGUGGGGGAUAACGAGGCGAAAGCUUUGCUAAUACCGCAUACGAUCUACGGAUGAAAGCAGGGGACCGCAAGGCCUUGCGCGGACGGAGCGGCCGAUGGCAGAUUAGGUAGUUGGUGGGAUAAAAGCUUACCAAGCCGACGAUCUGUAGCUGGUCUGAGAGGAUGAUCAGCCACACUGGGACUGAGACACGGCCCAGACUCCUACGGGAGGCAGCAGUGGGGAAUUUUGGACAAUGGGCGCAAGCCUGAUCCAGCCAUGCCGCGUGCAGGAUGAAGGCCUUCGGGUUGUAAACUGCUUUUGUACGGAACGAAAAGCCUUCUUUUAAUACAGGAGGGUCAUGACGGUACCGUAAGAAUAAGCACCGGCUAACUACGUG
rnacentral:rRNA from 1 species